UGCGCGUGUGCCAUCCCAGGCCGCCGCCCCCUUGUCAAUCUCGCGACUCGCGAGACUAGGCUGCCGCCCCGCCGUCGUGCCUCCUCCGCCCAUCACACACAGAAGGACUCCGCCCGCCGCUCGCCGUCGUGCCUCCUCCCUUGCAGAUCUGAAGAAUGGGUGCUCAGCCCCCAUCCCCUCCGUGUGGCCCUUCUCCGUUUCAGACCGCCGUCCCUCGUCAAUUUUGUCAGGCCGCCGCCCGUUGUCGUGCACGCAGGGCCGCCUGAAGAACGGGUGCCUAGUCCCUGUACAGGCGCCUCCUCCUCAUGGCCGCCUGAUUUCUAUGCGUUGGAGGCGGCGACGGCAUCCUGGCAACUGCUCUGGUGCUCCUCGUUGGCGUUGGUACCGAAUGGAGGCGAACGGGUAUGUUAGCCUGGAGUACCUGGCAAAUCAGACUUUUAAUACGGAGAUGCGUACCAACACCCAUGUGUGGACUGAGCAAAUGGAUCGUUUCCAUGCACUGGCAAUCGAGCUUUAUUCAAAGUUUUUUUCCCAUGACCCUGCUUGUGUACUAAACUACUUAACUGUUUGCAUGCAUGGUCUGCUGACUCCUGCUAUAUUUUAUUCGCUGCUAUAUUUUGUUCUACAGAUUGGCAGGCCCGUUGCAAAUCGUCUCAGCCCUGUGGUUAGGCAGCUAUCUUCCAAGGAGAUCAAGUGCGAAAACAGAUGCUUCCUGUUUGCCGCAGUGUCUUCAUGGUCAAGUGAAGGCAGCUGCGUCCUGUCUUUGCCGCCGUUGUCAACGACCUUCAAUGGAUGCUCAAGGCCAGCCAGAGGUAGUUGCUUAUUUGCCGGGCAGAGGAUUAACCUGGACUCUUUCUUCUGUUUUGAUGUACUGUGAAAUGCUGUGUUGGCCAGGGCUUCUUGUAAAUACGUUCUGUUUCUGAUGGUCCCUUAUGAACUUAACUUUUGGUUCAGAUCCUUGAAUUUUUUAUUUUGUUCAGGCGCAA